rnacentral:rRNA from 1 species
GCAUAUCAAUAAGUGGAGGAAAAGAAACCAACAGGGAUUGCCCUAGUAACGGCGAGUGAAGCGGCAACAGCUCAAAUUUGAAAUCUGGCCUCGGCCCGAGUUGUAAUUUGCAGAGGAUGCUUCUGGCGCGGUGCCUUCCGAGUUCCCUGGAACGGGACGCCACAGAGGGUGAGAGCCCCGUAUGGUCGGACACCAAGCCUGUGUGAAGCUCCUUCGACGAGUCGAGUAGUUUGGGAAUGCUGCUCUAAAUGGGAGGUAAAUCUCUUCUAAAGCUAAAUACCGGCCAGAGACCGAUAGCGCACAAGUAGAGUGAUCGAAAGAUGAAAAGCACCUUGAAAAGGGGGUUAAAUAGUACGUGAAAUUGUUGAAAGGGAAGCACUUAUGACCAGACUUGGGCCGGGCGGCUCAUCAGGGGUUCUCCCCUGUGCACUCCGCCCGGCACAGGCCAGCAUCGGUUCUCGUGGGGGGAUAAGACCGUCAGGAACGUAGCACCCUCCGGGGUGUGUUAUAGCCUGGCGGACGAUACCCCCGUGGGGACCGAGGUCCGCGCAUUGCAAGGAUGCUGGCGUAAUGGUCAUCAGUGACCCGUCUUGAAACACGGACCAAGGAGUCGUCCAUUAGAGCGAGCGUUUGGGUGUAAAACCCGCACGCGUAAUGAAAGUGAACGCAGGUGAGAGCUUCGGCGCAUCAUCGACCGAUCCUGAUGUUCUCGGAAGGAUUUGAGUAAGAGUUUUAACGGACGGACCCGAAAGACAGUGAACUAUGCUUGUAUAGGGUGAAGCCAGAGGAAACUCUGGUGGAGGCUCGCAGCGGUUCUGACGUGCAAAUCGAUCGUCAAAUAUGAGCAUGGGGGCGAAAGACUAAUCG